rnacentral:lncRNA from 1 species
CAAUAGAAAAGAUGAAUAGUAUUGUGAUGAAGAAUUUAACAUGUAUAUUGUUUAAGUAAAACGAACAGAAGACCGAACAAGUUACUUCCUACUUCCUUGAUCAGUCGUAUAAAUGUAAGUACAUUUAAUAUUUAGAAUACUAUAAAGUUUAAUAUAAGCUUAUCAUUGAACCAUAAAAGAUCAUAUUUGUGGCUGAUCAAAGGAAUGAAAUGAAAAGAAUAGUUACACAUAAAUACAAGAAAAUAACAAUACAAAUUCUAACAAUUAAACAUGGCGAUUGUAUCACACAGUAAUAGAACGCGGGGGAAAUAUAUAAGAAUAUAUGAGAAAGAAAUGUUAACCAAAAGCAACACAUGCCUUUUAGAAUAAACAUGAGGGAUAUAUUUUAUCACACUUAUAAUUUAUGAAACAUAAAGAUUCUUAAAAUUGAGUAUAUCAUGAAUAAACAACUAUGUUUGUUGUUGUUGAAUUUGAACACUUAUUUUAUCGCAAUUUUCAUUCACAAGAAAUACAAAACCUUCCCAGAUGAAAUAACAAAUUCACGCAUUUAACUUUACGGAAUAGAGACUUGUUGUGUGAAAGUGCAGAACAAAAUUCAAAAUAUUAAGAGAAUAUAGAAAAAGGUCAAAAUGUAUAAAAAAAAUAGAGAAUAUUGUCAUAAAAAGUUUACAAAUGAAGGACCCAAAUCUAGACUUCAAUACCAGUCAACAACACGCAUUUUUUAAAAUAUUAUUCAUGGAUAAUGAUAUCACCAGUAGCCGUUUGUUUGUAUUAAUAACACAAUACAUAAAGUUGACAGAUACAAUUAAAUUGAUUAACAACUUUUCUUAACAAACUGUUUUGUUUUCAUAGAACCUAAUUACAAGUAAACCUGCGAGAAGAUGAAUAAACACCUGUUCUAUCUUUUAUUAUGUAUUACUUUAUGGAAAUAUGGACAAGGUAAGACAUAUAUCAUACUUUUCAUUUUCUCUCAUUAUCUAAUGGCAUAAUAAUUUACCUAUUGUAAAACAUAAUGAUAACAGGAAAAGUCAUGAGAGGUAAAUACAUGUACAUUCAUAUAAGAUUUUUUGACAGAUAUUGUGUACCUAGUUAUUGUAAUGAGAAUGUUCUGUGAGCUAUUUUAAAUGUAUUCAAUCUAAAAUCAUCCCUUUUUUAUAAUAAAUAUCCAUAAACGGUAGUAUAUUUUAAAAGUAUAAGGAAUACUAUAAUGUAUCAAUGCCAGAGAUGUGACACUCAAUGCGGGUGUAAGCCUCGAUUAAUAUCAUACCUCGUGAGUUAAUAAUUCAUUUCAUCGACUUCAUUAACAUUCAAUAAUUGUACAAUGCUAUAUAAAAAACACAUUAACGUUCAAAAUUAUGUAAUUGUUAUAAAGCUUCCGUAUGUAAUACAAGAAAGACAUGCUAUUAUAUUUUAAAUUGAUCAUGUUGAUGUAUACAACAGUUGAGCUGAAAUAAGCUGAAAUUUACAAAAAAUAAUGGCUAUGAAUUUGAGAAUUUCGGACCCUUAGACACGUAAGACGAAACAGGUAUAUCCUUGAAAAACCAGUACUGAAUGUUCCUAAAUGUAUAACUUGUACAAUUCUUUGAUAGCUUUAUACUUUUAUCGAUAUGCAAUCCGAUUGAUUUUUUGUUAAGAAAAACACAUUCUUAUUGGUCUUGCUAUCUUGCCUCAUAGGCAAUGUUUACUGUAAUACAUCAAUAUAUCUCGGGGCAGUCACUGUAUGAAUGUAAAAGCAAGAUUUCCGUCAAUGAGACAGCAAACUGCUCAACAAUUUAUAAACAAGUGCCUGAACAAUAUGUUCUGCAAUAUGAUAAGCAGCAAGGCUUUUCAUACAGGAAUAUACUCACUAGAUAUAUAUCAAACGUGUGUUAAGUCAUUUGUAUGUUAUAUGUUUGUUAUAUGCAUGGUAAAUGUAAAAAAUGAUCCAAGGUAAGAAUUAAAUGGAUUUGUUAUUAUUGCAUAUCAAGAACAAAUAUCAAUCAAUCGGAAUUCCGAUUACUUUAGACGAAUACAAUUCGAAAGUAUAAUUAUGUUUGUCAAAAUGAAAUAAAAAGUAUUCUUAUUAAACAUUCUUAGAUUCAAGAAAAUAAAGAUACAGAAGCUGCUAUUCAUCAGUUUUAUUGUCGAUAAAUCAGUCAAAAAUCGUUUAUGGUGCAUUCAGCAGAUAUAUAACCACAUAUUCGUUCGUAAAUUCAAUUGCAAAUCUUCUGCACUGUACAGUAAGACUACCUGUUUGAUUUAUAUUUUUUUUUGCAGGACAGAACAUAUUGAAUUUGACAUUUUUCCAGCAAAAGUUAUCAUGGAGAAAUGCAUCUAUCUUUUGCUCACAACACGAUGGAGUCCUUGAGAGUAAUACAACAUUAGUAAUGCAAAAUUUCGAAAACAUUUCAACAA